rnacentral:lncRNA from 1 species
GGGGGCAAAGAUCAUAAUAGUCGAGCAAAUUUUGGAUGAACUCUGGAAUCAAAAAUCGAAGAUCCGUCCGAAGGUCUUCGACAUAAAAGGUCACCUGGCCUAGAGGAAGAGAGUUUACCCGAUCAUCGACGUCAGGUGCAAAGAGUUGAUACUGCUCUGGGAUAUGAUACUGCUCCCGGAGCCAUCAACAUUGGGUUCAGAUAGUGAAAAAAUCUUCACUUUCGAACC